rnacentral:rRNA from 1 species
GAUGAACGCUGGCGGCGUGCCUAAUACAUGCAAGUCGAGCGAACAGACGAGGAGCUUGCUCCUCUGACGUUAGCGGCGGACGGGUGAGUAACACGUGGAUAACCUACCUAUAAGACUGGGAUAACUUCGGGAAACCGGAGCUAAUACCGGAUAACAUGUUGAACCGCAUGGUUCAACAGUGAAAGACGGUCUUGCUGUCACUUAUAGAUGGAUCCGCGCCGCAUUAGCUAGUUGGUAAGGUAACGGCUUACCAAGGCAACGAUGCGUAGCCGACCUGAGAGGGUGAUCGGCUACACUGGAACUGAGACACGGUCCAGACUCCUACGGGAGGCAGCAGUAGGGAAUCUUCCGCAAUGGGCGAAAUCCUGACGGAGCAACGCCGCGUGAGUGAAGAAGGUCUUCGGAUCGUAAAACUCUGUUAUUAGGGAAGAACAAAUGUGUAAGUAACUAUGCACGUCUUGACGGUACCUAAUCAGAAAGCCACGGCUAACUACGUG